rnacentral:lncRNA from 1 species
UAGGUAAGAACUAGUUCAAAGUUUGGGAAUAGUAACAUAUCUUAUUAGUAACAACAUAAUGUUUCUCCCACUCAAACUGAGAUGAUCAUAAUAUAACUGCUAUCUAUAAUGAACAUUUCACAAUGACUAAAAUAGGUAACAUGGGUACAGAAACUAUCAUAGAAAACUAAGUUUUAUACUAUCCCUGUAACGAUGCCACUUCUCCUCCAUGUAAUGUCAAAAUUCAAUAGCAGUUUAAUGAUAUUAUUAUUCGUGUAACUUGUGAUCUUUCCAAUCUUUUUCUAUCCAUGAGCCCAUGUUUCAGCCUGCAAGUUGCUAGAAACAAAUAGGUUAUGACAGGAAAAAAUACCUGGUUCUUCCUCCUUGAGGCCCCAAUAAGCACAAAAGGGUGUUGCUACUCGCCUAUUUGUGCUUAAUAGGUUCCACAGAGAGGAAGGUGUCCCCAUUCGCGGGUUUAGCUUAUUUGCUAAAAAUAAUCAAACUAGACCAAAGAACUGAAUCAUUGGACAAUUUAAACAUGGAACAUGCAAAAAUCAUCCUGACAAAAGGAAAAUUGCCUACUCCAUACAGAGAACUGACAAAAAUAAGUUCUUAUGAUAAAUUACCUAUUUCUCUAAAACAGAUGUCGUGACCAAGAAAGCACAACACCCAAUCCAACGACGCGAGCACAUAUCCUAUCUAAGCAAGGGCGCAACAAGGACUGAAGAACCCACCACAAAAUCCAAUGCCAUUGGAAAGAGGAUGCAGUGCCAAAUCACCACCAGAAUAACACCCCCACAUCCAAUCCCUAAACCUCAUUGCAGUCUGCCACAUCAAUGAACAAAAAAAUAUAUGAAAUCUGCAUCCACGCAAGAAGGGGAGAGAUAGGGAAGUAGAGUGGGACGGAAGUAC